UACGUAGGGUCCAAGCGUUAUCCGGAAUCACUGGGCUUAAAGGGCGCGUAGGCGGGCUGUCCAGUCUGGGGUGAAAUCCCACGGCUCAACCGUGGAACUGCCUCAGAUACUGACGGCCUCGAGGGAGAUAGGGGCAUGCGGAACUGUAGGUGGAGCGGUGAAAUGCGUUGAUAUCUACAGGAACUCCGGUGGCGAAGGCGGCGUGCUGGAUCUCUUCUGACGCUGAGGCGCGAAAGCUAGGGGAGCAAACGGG
rnacentral:rRNA from 1 species